GAAUAAAAAGCUACCAACGGGAAGAAGAAGAGACAACAGGACUGAUCAUCAGGUGACAGAACUGAUGUGAUAGAAAGUGGACAGAUCGCCGAUCGCUCUCUUACAAACAAGAAGGAGAUUUAAACCGACAGUGAGCACGUGACCUUGAUGUCCCUUUGAGGCCUUCUGAAUUUACUUCAUUUAAUUUUCUGGUUAGUGAGUGUAAUGCACCCAGUAAAGUCAACAGGAAAACUUUACAUGCUCUUCCACAUUGGUAGAGACAGCUGCCAGAGACGGAGAAA